rnacentral:rRNA from 1 species
GUCGUCAGCUCGUGUCGUGAGAUGUUCGGUUAAGUCCGCUAACGAGCGCAGCCCUCACUGUGUGUUAUACGUGUCACACGGGACUGCCGGUUUAAGCGAGGAAGGCGAGGAUGAAGUCAAGUCAGCAUGGCCUCUAUAUCUUGGGCUACACACACGCUACAAUGGUCUGUACAACAGGUUGCCAAGCCGCGAGGCGGAGCCAAUACCUAAAAGCAGGCCUCAGUUCAGAUUGUAGGCUGCAACCCGCCUGCAUGAAGAUGGAGUUGCUAGUAACCGCAGGUCAGCUAUACUGCGGUGAAUACGUUCCCGGGUCUU